GAUGAACGCUGGCGGCGUGCCUAAUACAUGCAAGUCGAGCGAACAGACGAGGAGCUAGCUCCUCUGACGUUAGCGGCGGACGGGUGAGUAACACGUGGAUAACCUACCUAUAAGACUGGGAUAACUUCGGGAAACCGGAGCUAAUACCGGAUAAUAUAUUGAACCGCAUGGUUCAAUAGUGAAAGACGGUUUUGCUGUCACUUAUAGAUGGAUCCGCGCCGCAUUAGCUAGUUGGUAAGGUAACGGCUUACCAAGGCAACGAUGCGUAGCCGACCUGAGAGGGUGAUCGGCCACACUGGAACUGAGACACGGUCCAGACUCCUACGGGAGGCAGCAGUAGGGAAUCUUCCGCAAUGGGCGAAAGCCUGACGGAGCAACGCCGCGUGAGUGAUGAAGGUCUUCGGAUCGUAAAACUCUGUUAUUAGGGAAGAACAAAUGUGUAAGUAACUAUGCACGUCUUGACGGUACCUAAUCAGAAAGCCACGGCUAACUACG
rnacentral:rRNA from 1 species